AAUCCUCCUUCCAUCCAUCAAUCCAAUCACCUGUUACCAUGUCAAGCUACCUUUUGAGCGAAAGGGACAAUUGGAACGGCUUCUGGAUCCCGUGUUUACAUGUGCACCACGUUAGAUGUUCCCUGAACCAACACCACCGCCAACAAUAUAGUUUUUUUCAACAUCAGUCACGGUUCUCCGCAGCUUUGGCCGUCCAUGUGCUGUAGGCUGGCGAUCGCAGCACACAGAUCACAGCAGAUCUUUGUUUGGCUACCAACUGUUCUCAUUUGACUAGAGAUCAAAAAGCUCCGUUUGGUUUUAGAACCUUGUCCUGUGUGCGGCUGCAGCAGCUCUGCUGGUCCGCCAGCAUCACAUCCUGUCUGACCGGACUGGGUGUGAAGGCGGAGGCGAGGCGGGGAGAGGAGAGGAGACCGCCGCGGACCAACACCAGCACCAGAG